rnacentral:rRNA from 1 species
UACGUAGGGGGCUAGCGUUGUUCGGAUUUACUGGGCGUAAAGGGCGCGUAGGCGGCGCAACAAGUCACUUGUGAAAUCUCCGGGCUUAACCCGGAGCGGUCAAGUGAUACUGUCGUGCUAGAGUGCGGAAGGGGCUACUGGAAUUCUCGGUGUAGCGGUGAAAUGCGUAGAUAUCGAGAGGAACACCUGCGGCGAAGGCGGGUAGCUGGGCCGACACUGACGCUGAUGCGCGAAAGCCAGGGGAGCGAACGGG